AUUGGUUGUUGUUGUUGUUGCUGUUGUUGUUGUUAUUGUAGUAUUUGGUAUUUUAGAAUUAUUGCUGAACCUGAGCAAAUUUUUUGUUGCUGUUAAACAUCAUUGAGUUGAAUUUUGUUGCUGGAUAACAUCACUGGGUUGAAUUUUGUUGCUGGAUAACAUCACUGGGUUGAGUUUAAUACUUGAAUAGUUGAAUUUGUUGUUGUGUUGCUUAAAAAAUCACUUGGCUAAAUCUUUUGUUGUUGUAAAUUUUUUUGUUCCUUUGCCAAGUAUAUUAAUUUUUUUUGUUGAAUAGAAAAUUUAGGAUGGGUGUAUAGUUUCUGUGAUGAGGAUAUUGAUGCUUUGAUAAGCAUGUGCUUAUGCCUUUAGUUGGUAAUGCAAUAGGGUUUUGAAUUUCAGCAGAUUUUUGAUAUUGGCAAAACUCUGCCAUUGUUCAUGGAGUUUCAAACCUUAGAUGACAGGACGUGAAGAACCAUACUCUGCAAAGUGUCUUGUUUUCAAUGUUGCAGGUGUGUGUCACUUAUUAGAAGCUUCUCCAUGAGAAAGGAGAUGUAUGAACAUGAUGGAGUUUGUAAUUUGUAGUUUAUAUUUUGUAGAUCUAUAAUUUCUUGUUUCUCUUGUCCUAUGUAUCUAUCUAGUUCAUUAGGGUUCUUCAAUGUGUCUUGUUAGUUUGUACUUUAAGGUUUAUAGGUUGAAGAUUUAUAAAACAAUCUUAGUUAAAUGAAAGAUAUUUGAACUAUCUA